AUGAACGCUGGCGGCGUGCUUCACACAUGCAAGUCGAACGGAAAGGCCCAAGCUUGCUUGGGUACUCGAGUGGCGAACGGGUGAGUAACACGUGGGUGAUCUGCCCUGCACUUCGGGAUAAGCCUGGGAAACUGGGUCUAAUACCGGAUAGGACCACUUCUUGGAUGUUGUGGUGGAAAGUUUUUUCGGUGUGGGAUGAGCUCGCGGCCUAUCAGCUUGUUGGUGGGGUAAUGGCCUACCAAGGCGUCGACGGGUAGCCGGCCUGAGAGGGUGUACGGCCACAUUGGGACUGAGAUACGGCCCAGACUCCUACGGGAGGCAGCAGUGGGGAAUAUUGCACAAUGGGCGCAAGCCUGAUGCAGCGACGCCGCGUGGGGGAUGACGGCCUUCGGGUUGUAAACUCCUUUCGCUAGGGACGAAGCGUUUUGUGACGGUACCUGGAGAAGAAGCACCGGCUAACUACGUG
rnacentral:rRNA from 1 species